rnacentral:rRNA from 1 species
GACGAACGCUGGCGGCGUGCCUAAUACAUGCAAGUUGAGCGCUGAAGGUUGGUACUUGUACCAACUGGAUGAGCAGCGAACGGGUGAGUAACGCGUGGGGAAUCUGCCUUUGAGCGGGGGACAACAUUUGGAAACGAAUGCUAAUACCGCAUAAAAACUUUAAACACAAGUUUUAAGUUUGAAAGAUGCAAUUGCAUCACUCAAAGAUGAUCCCGCGUUGUAUUAGCUAGUUGGUGAGGUAAAGGCUCACCAAGGCGAUGAUACAUAGCCGACCUGAGAGGGGGAUAGGCCACAUUGGGACUGAGACACGGCCCAAACUGCUACGGGAGGCAGCAGUAGGGAAUCGUCGGCAAUGGACGAAAGUCUGACCGAGCAACGCCGCGUGAGUGAAGAAGGUUUUCGGAUCGUAAAACUCUGUUGGUAGAGAAGAACGUUGGUGAGAGUGGAAAGCUCAUCAAGUGACGGUAACUACCCAGAAAGGGACGGCUAACUACGUG